rnacentral:rRNA from 1 species
ACCAGACUCCUACGGGAGGCAGCAGUGGGGAAUAUUGCACAAUGGGGGAAACCCUGAUGCAGCGACGCCGCGUGAGCGAUGAAGUAUUUCGGUAUGUAAAGCUCUAUCAGCAGGGAAGAAAAUGACGGUACCUGAUGAAUAAGCUCCGGCUAACUACGUGCCAGCAGCCGCGGUAAUACGUAGGGAGCAAGCGUUAUCCGGAUUUACUGGGUGUAAAGGGCGCGUAGGCGGGAUGGCAAGUCAGAUGUGAAAUCCAAGGGCUCAACCCUUGAACUGCAUUUGAAACUGUCGUUCUUGAGUACUGGAGAGGUUGACGGAAUUCCUAGUGUAGCGGUGAAAUGCGUAGAUAUUAGGAGGAACACCAGUGGCGAAGGCGGCCUACUGGACGGUGACUGACGCUGAGGCUCGAAAGCGUGGGGAGCAAACAGGAUUAGAUACCCUAGUAC